rnacentral:rRNA from 1 species
AGAGUUUGAUCCUGGCUCAGGAUGAACGCUGGCGGCGUGCCUAAUACAUGCAAGUCGAACGGAGAUAUUGUAGCAAUACGGUAUCUUAGUGGCGAACGGGUGAGUAACGCGUUGGUGACCUGCCCCGAAGAGGGGGAUAACAGUCCGAAAGGAUUGCUAAUACCCCAUGUGGUCCUGGGUUUUAGAACCCCAUGACUAAAGGUGUAAAUCACUUCGGGAGGGGCCUGCGUCCCAUCAGCUAGUUGGUAAGGUAAUGGCUUACCAAGGCGACGACGGGUAGGGGACCUGAGAGGGUGGCCCCCCACAAUGGAACUGAAACACGGUCCAUACACCUACGGGUGGCAGCAGUAGGGAAUAUUAGUUAAUGUGCGAAAGCGCGAACUAGCAACGCCGCGUGUGCGAUGAAGGUCUUCGGAUCGUAAAGCACUUUUCGAGAAGAUGAGGAAGGACAGUACUCUCGGAAUAAGUCUCGGCUAACUACGUGCCAGCAGCCGCGGUAA